CCUACGGGUGACAGCAGUGAGGAAUAUUGGUCAAUGGGCGAGAGCCUGAACCAGCCAAGUCGCGUGAGGGAGUACUGCCCUAUGGGUUGUAAACCUCUUUUGUCGGGGAGCAAAAGCCGGACGUGUCCGGCUGUGAGAGUACCCGAAGAAAAAGCAUCGGCUAACUCCGUUCCAGCAGCCGCGGUAAUACGGAGGAUGCGAGCGUUAUCCGGAUUUAUUGGGUUUAAAGGGUGCGCAGGCGGAUUUUUAAGUCAGCGGUAAAAUCGUGGGGCUCAACCCCAUCCAGCCGUUGAAACUGGGGAUCUAGAGUGUGCGAGAGGUAUGCGGAAUGCGUGGUGUAGCGGUGAAAUGCAUAGAUAUCACGCAGAACCCCGAUUGCGAAGGCAGCAUACCGGUGCACAACUGACGCUCAGGCACGAAAGCGUGGGUAUCGAACAGGAUUAGAUACCCGAGUAGUC
rnacentral:rRNA from 1 species